rnacentral:pre_miRNA from 1 species
UUUAAGUCCAACUAUAAGUUUCUAUGCCCAAUUUAGAUGGUUCAUUUUAUUUAAAUUUUAUUAUUAUUAUUAUUAUUAUUAUUAUUAUUAUUAUUAUUAUUAUUAGAUGAUAAAACAUGAAUACUAAUUUAUGUGUGACUAAUAUUUUUAUUUUUUUAAAUAAGACAGACGAUCAAAGUUGGCCACGAAAAAUCAUGGCAUCACCCUGG